rnacentral:rRNA from 2 species
GCGGCGUGCCUAAUACAUGCAAGUCGAACGAGUUCUCGUUGAUGAUCGGUGCUUGCACCGAGAUUCAACAUGGAACGAGUGGCGGACGGGUGAGUAACACGUGGGUAACCUGCCCUUAAGUGGGGGAUAACAUUUGGAAACAGAUGCUAAUACCGCAUAGAUCCAAGAACCGCAUGGUUCUUGGCUGAAAGAUGGCGUAAGCUAUCGCUUUUGGAUGGACCCGCGGCGUAUUAGCUAGUUGGUGAGGUAAUGGCUCACCAAGGCGAUGAUACGUAGCCGAACUGAGAGGUUGAUCGGCCACAUUGGGACUGAGACACGGCCCAAACUCCUACGGGAGGCAGCAGUAGGGAAUCUUCCACAAUGGACGCAAGUCUGAUGGAGCAACGCCGCGUGAGUGAAGAAGGCUUUCGGGUCGUAAAACUCUGUUGUUGGAGAAGAAUGGUCGGCAGAGUAACUGUUGUCGGCGUGACGGUAUCCAACCAGAAAGCCACGGCUAACUACGUGCCAGCAGCCGCGGUAAUACGUAGGUGGCAAGCGUUAUCCGGAUUUAUUGGGCGUAAAGCGAGCGCAGGCGGUUUUUUAAGUCUGAUGUGAAAGCCCUCGGCUUAACCGAGGAAGCGCAUCGGAAACUGGGAAACUUGAGUGCAGAAGAGGACAGUGGAACUCCAUGUGUAGCGGUGAAAUGCGUAGAUAUAUGGAAGAACACCAGUGGCGAAGGCGGCUGUCUGGUCUGUAACUGACGCUGAGGCUCGAAAGCAUGGGUAGCGAACAGGAUUAGAUACCCUGGUAGUCCAUGCCGUAAACGAUGAAUGCUAGGUGUUGGAGGGUUUCCGCCCUUCAGUGCCGCAGCUAACGCAUUAAGCAUUCCGCCUGGGGAGUACGACCGCAAGGUUGAAACUCAAAGGAAUUGACGGGGGCCCGCACAAGCGGUGGAGCAUGUGGUUUAAUUCGAAGCAACGCGAAGAACCUUACCAGGUCUUGACAUCUUUUGAUCACCUGAGAGAUCAGGUUUCCCCUUCGGGGGCAAAAUGACAGGUGGUGCAUGGUUGUCGUCAGCUCGUGUCGUGAGAUGUUGGGUUAAGUCCCGCAACGAGCGCAACCCUUAUGACUAGUUGCCAGCAUUUAGUUGGGCACUCUAGUAAGACUGCCGGUGACAAACCGGAGGAAGGUGGGGAUGACGUCAAAUCAUCAUGCCCCUUAUGACCUGGGCUACACACGUGCUACAAUGGAUGGUACAACGAGUUGCGAGACCGCGAGGUCAAGCUAAUCUCUUAAAGCCAUUCUCAGUUCGGACUGUAGGCUGCAACUCGCCUACACGAAGUCGGAAUCGCUAGUAAUCGCGGAUCAGCACGCCGCGGUGAAUACGUUCCCGGGCCUUGUACACACCGCCCGUCACACCAUGAGAGUUUGUAACACCCGAAGCCGGUGGCGUAACCCUUUUAGGGAGCGAGCCGUCUAAGGUGGGACAAAUGAU